UACGUAGGUGGCAAGCGUUGUCCGGAUUUACUGGGCGUAAAGGGCGUGCAGGCGGUUUGUUAAGUGCAGGGUGAAAGCUCCCGGCUCAACUGGGAGAGGUCCUUGCAUACUGGCGAACUUGAGGGGGGUAGAGGAAAGUGGAAUUCCCGGUGUAGUGGUGAUAUGCGUAGAUAUCGGGAGGAACACCUGUGGCGAAGGCGGCUUUCUGGGCCCUACCUGACUGCUGAGACG
rnacentral:rRNA from 1 species